ensembl:lncRNA
AGCCCCCUCACCUGUUUCCAUAGCACCUAACCUGGGUACCCAGCCCCCUCACCUGUUUCCAUACCACCUAACCCCACAACCCAGCCCCCUCACCUGUUUCCAUAUCACCUAACCUGGGUACCCAGCCCCCUCACCUGUUUCCAUAUCAACUAACCCCAGUACCCAGCCCCCUCACCUGUUUCCAUAUCACCUAACCUGGGUACCCAGCCUCCUCACAUGUUUCCAUAUCAACUAACCUGGGUACCCAGCCUCCUCACCUGUUUCCAUAUCAACUAACCUGGGUACCCAGCCUCCUCACCUGUUUCCAUAUCAACUAACCUGGGUACCCAGCCUCCUCACCUUACCCAGCCCCUCACCUGUUUCCAUAUCAACUAACCCCAGUACCCAGCCCCCUCACCUGUUUCCAUAUCACCUAACCUGGGUACCCAUCCCCCUCACCUGUUUCCAUACCACCUAACCUGGGUACCCAGCCUCCUCACCUGUUUCCAUACCACCUAACCUGGGUACCCAGCCUCCUCACCUGUUUCCAUACCACCUAACCCCAUACCCAUCCCCCUCACCUGUUUCCAUACCACCUAACCCCAGUACCCAGCCCCCUCACCUGUUUCC